rnacentral:rRNA from 1 species
GCUAAAAACUUAGCCUUANCCCUACAAUUAUAUUUACCCUAUUUUACUUACACAAAAUAAAACAUUCUUUAAGCUUAGUAAAGGAGAUAAAAAAGUUUUUUAGAGCUAUAAAAUAAGUACCGCAAGGGAAAAAUGAAAUAAAAAUGAAACAAAAUUCAAGCAUAAUAUAGUAGAGUUUUCCCCUCGUACCUUUUGCAUCAUGAUUCAACUAGUUUAACCACGCAAAAAGAAUUUAAGUUUGACUUCCCGAAACUAAGUGAGCUACUUCAGGGCAGCUAAAUGAGCCAACCCGUCUCUGUUGCAAAAGAGUGGGAUGACCCUUAAGUAGAGGUGAUAAACCUAACGAACUUAGUGAUAGCUGGUUAUUCAGAAAAAGAAUUUUAGUUCAACUUAAAAUUACAUAAAUAAAAUAAAAUAAAAUUUUAAUUUUAAAGCAAUUCAAAUAAGGUACAGCCUAUUUGAAAUAGAAUACAAUCUAAACUAUAGGGUAAAUAUAAAAAAUUAAUGUAAUAAAGUAGGCCUAAAAGCAGCCAACUUUAAAAUAGCGUCAAAGCUUACUUCCAUAAUUUUUUAAUACUAUUAUUUACAAUGAACCCUUUAUUUUUACUGAAUAUUUCUAUAAAGUUAUAGAACCUUUUAUGUUGAAACUAGUAACAAGAAGUUAAACUUCUCCUCAAUAUAAGUAUAAGUCGACUAGGAUAAACCAUCGACAAUUAACGCUUAAAUUAAAUGUAUUAACUCCACAAGAAAAACUUACAUUACCCCACGUUAAUCUUACACCAGAACAUUUAAGGAAAGAUUNNAAAAA